AGAGAAGCUGAUCGAUCAGAAAAGGUGAUCAAAUCAAACCAGUCCGCCAAAAAACAGAACAGCUUUCCACGCGAGGUCGAGAAGCCUCUCGAACCUUCCGGAUUCCCUCAAACCCUAGCUUAAACCCUAGCAUUCUCGCCCAAAUUGGCGCGGCGGCCUCUAUGGCUGAAGAGGAGAAGGCGUCGACGGCGGAGGGGGACGAGAAGGAGGACGUGAGCGACGUCGACGACUCGCCCCUCCCGGCGUUGAGGCGUCGCGCGGCGGCGAGCGACGACGAGGAGGAGGGCGAUGGCGGCGGCGGUGGGGGGAGUGGUUCCUCGCCGCCGUCGAGGGUGGUCUGGUCCGAUUCCGACUCCGACGAGCUGGGCGCGACCGAGGUGGACGGCGAAGACGAGGGUUCCGAGGAAUGCGAGGAGGUUCGCAAGGAGUUCGACGCAGGAUCUGGGGGCGGUGGAGAGGCCAAGGAAGUGACGCCGGAUGAGGUGGCUGCGGCGCCGGAGGACGAGGGGAAGUACGAGGAGGAGGAGGAUGCCCAGGCUGAGACGGGAGCCGAACUGAAAGAAGAGGACAAGGAGAACAAGGGGUUCGAGCCCGACGCCGUGCCGAGAACAGGUGCCUUCUACAUGCACGAUGAUCGCUUCCAGAACAAGGAAAACCGCAGCCGCGGGCGCCAGAGGGACUUUUUCGGUGGCCAAAAGUUAUGGAAUUCUAAAGAUGAUAGCGUAUGGCUGCAUGAUCGGUUUAAUGAGAUCAAUACCCAUGAUGUUCAACAUGACAGUACAAGGAGGCCAAGAAGUCCAUUUAGAGCUUGGGCUGGUGGUAGAACUCAUGAUGUUAACCAUGAUCGGUUUGAUGAGAUCAAUACCCAUUAUGUUCAACAUGACAGUACAAGGAGACCAAGAAGUCCUUUUGGAGCAUGGACUGGUGGUAGAACUCAUGACGUUAACCAUGAUCGGUUUCAUGAGAUCAAUACCCGUUAUGUUCAACAUGGCAGUACAAGGAGGCCAAGAAGUCCUUUUAGAGCAUGGGCUGGUGGUAGAACUCAUGACAUUAACCAUGGUUAUCUAGAAGGAACCAAAUCCGCAUCCUAUUAUCAUGAUUACAGAGCAGACUACAAGUAUGGGAGUACCAACAACUACAAUAGAUUUCCAAAAGAGGCCAAAACUUCCUAUUACAGCGCCAAGAACUACAGAAGUGUUCCAAGAAAAUCCCAUUCGUACUAUGACGAGCAGAACUGGACAGAAUCUCGUAUCUGUUAUGUGAAUGCUAAAGGUUACAACAAUGCACCAAAUGUUAACAGAGGGAAACCAUCAAGGCCCUACCAACCUACCUGGAAGAAUACUUUCCAAACCUCUUCAGUGCAAAACAAUAGGACAUAUUCCAGAUCACGGAAUGAGGAGGGCUGUUCUGAUACAGGUGUGGGAAAGAACUCACAUCGAACUUUAGGUUUGCAGAAUGAACAAGAGUUUUCGUCGAAGCAAGAACCCUCCUUUGUAGAAAGAAGGAAAGCACGACCUGACAUUUUAAGUAAGCUCUUCUCAUCCUCCGUUCGAAUGGCACAUAGUUCUCUGAAACCUCAAUCUCGUCCCAGUUUUGGAGUGAAGGCAUUUGCUCCUUCUGGUGAGCAUGGAAAUACUGCUGGUUCUCUUAGUAUGGUAAAAGGCAUGCCUAACCUUGGUUCUCAUUCAACUGUAUCAACAUCAAAUAGCCAAUAUUCAGAAUCCAGGGAUCAAGGAAGUGGUUUGAACAUUGGUGUCCCCACAGAGAACAAACUUUCUGCUCAGAUAUUUCAUCAAAACAUUGCCAGUGCCAGCAAAAUUCAGUCUCAUCCACAAAAUACACUGAUAAGUUCAACUGAAGAUGCAGAGACCAGUCCCCCUCCUGGGUCAAACAAUUCUUUAGCACCGUCUGUUAUAAUAGUGCAGAAUGAUAAGGUAGAAGCAGUGAGUGGCUCUUUCCCUUGUGGUGGAGGUCAUGCUCUUGAUGUUACAGUAGCAAAGGACCUUACUCUUGGCACUCCAGCAGUGUUGCCAGUUAUGAAGUUUGGUGAGCAGCAUCCUAGGGGACCUGAUAUCCCAUGCAGUGGUAUGGCUUUCCCAGGACUUUUGGCUCAUCAACCCAGUGACAAUUCUGAGCUUAAUCAAAUUACUUGGCUGCAAACAUUGUCUGGUGCUACUGGGGUUCUUGGGGCAACACAUGAUCCUUCUUAUAUUGGCAGUCAUUAUCCCCAACUAUCAGUAUUCCCAAGACACGAUUGUGUGACUGAAGUUCCUGUUUUGUUGAACUCCCCUGAAAUACCAGGUCAUGAGCUUGGCCAGCGCAAGAACAAACUUCUCAGAUACUCAGAGAUGAACUUCGCUUCAUGAACAUGGUGAGUUUAGUGACAACCAAAGCGAAUCCACAGGACCAGCUCUCAGUCCGUAUCAGAACUACUGCAUUCUGCAUUGUAUUGCUACAGCUGUCAAUUAUAGCGCACAGCUCAGUACUUUCUAAGUCCAAGCCCUGAGCUCCUUUUUUUUUUUCCUCCUGAAGCACUUUGUCACUGUAACAAAAUACACCAGGUUGGACUGUUUAAGUAAGCAAGUCCUUUUGCUAUAGUCCUGUCUCCUGUGCACUGGCCUGCUCCUUCUGCUGGGUCUGAUCUCUCACCAUGAUGAUCCCAAGGUGGCAGUUGCGAUCCGUGAACUCUUGCUCCUGGUCAAGAGGAGUAACUUUGCCUCUGCUCCGCUCUUCUCUUCCGUAGUAAUUUCCGGUUGAUUUGAUCGUUUUGUCAGCAUGGCCUGGGUUUGAUAUUUUCUUCUAACCAACUGCAAACCAUAUCGCUUCUCGCUAUUAGUAGUAGCAUGUUGACUCCUAGAUGGUGGUUAGCCAUGUCUUCGUACUCUUUUGGACGAAACUCAGUGUAGAUUAUUUGUAUGCUGCUUAUAGUUCUGUUCUUAUGUGCUGCUAGGACAUAGUUAAACCCAGUCUUGUAGUCAGGGAAGAGAGCCAUAUGGUUCCUGUCCGUUGGAUGAUUUGGACCAGUUAUUCGUA